rnacentral:tRNA from 1 species
GCUUUAAUAAUAUAUUAUAAUGUAUCAAUUUUGUAAGUUGAAAAAGGGAUUCCUUAAAGCU